CGUCACACAAGCGGUGGAGCAUGUUGCUUAAUUCGAGGCAACGCGAAGAACCUUACCUGGGCUUGACAUGUACGGAUUAACUCUUGGAAACUUGAGCCACGCCUUCGGGUGGAACGUACACAGGUGUUGCAUGGCUGUCGUCAGCUCGUGCUGUGAAGUGUCGGGUUAAGUCCCUUAACGAGCGCAACCCCUAUCGUUAGUUGCCAGCGCGUCAUGGCGGGGACUCUAGCGAGACUGCCGGUGUCAAACCGGAGGAAGGUGGGGAUGACGUCAAGUCCUCAUGGCCCUUAUGUCCAGGGAUGCAAACGUGCUACAAUGGCGUGUACAGAGCGAUGCGAGGCCGCAAGGCGGAGCAAAUCGCAAAAAGCACGCCCCAGUUCGGAUUGCAGGCUGCAACUCGCCUGCAUGAAGCCGGAAUCGCUAGUAAUCGGAGAUCAGCUACGCUCCGGUGAAUACGUUCCUGAGCCUU
rnacentral:rRNA from 1 species